rnacentral:rRNA from 1 species
CCUACGGGAGGCUGCAGUGAGGAAUAUUGGUCAAUGGGCUUACGCCUGAACCAGCGAAGUCGCGUGAGGGAAGACUGCCCUAUGGGUUGUAAACCUCUUUUGUCAGGGAGCAACGCCGGCUACGUGUAGCCGGACUGAGAGUACCUGACGAAAAAGCAUCGGCUAACUUCGUGCCAGCAGCCGCGGUAAUACGGGGGAUGCAAGGGUGAUCCGGAUUUAUUGGGUUUAAAGGGUGCGUAGGCGGAAUGCCAAGUCAGCGGUAAAAUCGCGGGGCUAAACCUUGCUCCGCAGUUGAAACUGGCGUACUUGAGUGGGCGAGAGGUAUGCGGAAUGCUUGGUGUAGCGGUGAAAUGCGUAGAUAUCACGAAGAACUCCGGUUGCGAAGGCAGCUUACCGGCGCCCAACUGACGCUGAAGCACGAAAGCGUGGGUAUCAAACAGGAUUAGAUACCCGUGUAGUC